rnacentral:rRNA from 1 species
AGUGAACGCUGGCGGUAGGCCUAACACAUGCAAGUCGAACGGCAGCACAGUAAGAGCUUGCUCUUACGGGUGGCGAGUGGCGGACGGGUGAGGAAUACAUCGGAAUCUACUUUUUCGUGGGGGAUAACGUAGGGAAACUUACGCUAAUACCGCAUACGACCUACGGGUGAAAGCAGGGGAUCUUCGGACCUUGCGCGAUUGAAUGAGCCGAUGUCGGAUUAGCUAGUUGGCGGGGUAAAGGCCCACCAAGGCGACGAUCCGUAGCUGGUCUGAGAGGAUGAUCAGCCACACUGGAACUGAGACACGGUCCAGACUCCUACGGGAGGCAGCAGUGGGGAAUAUUGGACAAUGGGCACAAGCCUGAUCCAGCCAUACCGUGUGGGUGAAGAAGGCCUUCGGGUUGUAAAGCCCUUUUGUUGGGAAAGAAAAGCAGCAGGUUAAUACCCCGCUGUUCUGACGGUACCCAAAGAAUAAGCACCGGCUAACUUCGUG